rnacentral:rRNA from 1 species
GUGACUGCGUACCUUUUGUAUAAUGGGUCAGCGACUUAUAUUCUGUAGCAAGGUUAACCGUAUAGGGGAGCCGUAGGGAAACCGAGUCUUAACCGGGCGUUAAGUUGCAGGGUAUAGACCCGAAACCCGGUGAUCUAGCCAUGGGCAGGUUGAAGGUUGGGUAACACUAACUGGAGGACCGAACCGACUAAUGUUGAAAAAUUAGCGGAUGACCUGUGGCUGGGGGUGAAAGGCCAAUCAAACCGGGAGAUAGCUGGUUCUCCCCGAAAGCUAUUUAGGUAGCGCCUCGUGAAUUCAUCUCCGGGGGUAGAGCACUGUUUCGGCUAGGGGGCCAUCCCGGCUUACCAACCCGAUGCAAACUGCGAAUACCGGAGAAUGUUAUCACGGGAGACACACGGCGGGUGCUAACGUCCGUCGUGAAGAGGGAAACAACCCAGACCGCCAGCUAAGGUCCCAAAGUCAUGGUUAAGUGGGAAACGAUGUGGGAAGGCCCAGACAGCCAGGAUGUUGGCUUAGAAGCAGCCAUCAUUUAAAGAAAGCGUAAUAGCUCACUGGUCGAGUCGGCCUGCGCGGAAGAUGUAACGGGGCUAAACCAUGCACCGAAGCUGCGGCAGCGAACGUAUCACCCAAGACAACUUUACGGAGUUGACGAUUGACGGAGCGAAGCGACGUCAAAGCGUUCAUUAAAGUCGAGUUGGCUUAGGGAUACGUUCGUUGGGUAGGGGAGCGUUCUGUAAGCCUGUGAAGGUGUGUCGUGAGGCAUGCUGGAGGUAUCAGAAGUGCGAAUGCUGACAUAAGUAACGAUAAAGCGGGUGAAAAGCCCGCUCGCCGGAAGACCAAGGGUUCCUGUCCAACGUUAAUCGGGGCAGGGUGAGUCGACCCCUAAGGCGAGGCCGAAAGGCGUAGU